rnacentral:rRNA from 1 species
CGACUGCUAAUACCCAAUGUGCCGAAAGGUGAAAGAUUUAUCGUCUGAAGAUGGGCUCGCGGCUGAUUAGCUAGUUGGUGGUGUAAGAGACUCCCAAGGCAACGAUCAGUAGCUGGUCUGAGAGGAUGAGCAGCCACACUGGAACUGAGAAACGGUCCAGACUCCUACGGGAGGCAGCAGUGGGGAAUUUUCCGCAAUGGGCGAAAGCCUGACGGAGCAAUACCGCGUGAGGGAGGAAGGUUCUUGGAUUGUAAACCUCUUUUCUUAGGGAAGAAGUACUGACGGUACCUAAGGAAUAAGCAUCGGCUAACUCCGUGCCAGCAGCCGCGGUAAUACGGAGGAUGCAAGCGUUAUCCGGAAUUAUUGGGCGUAAAGCGUCCGUAGGUGGUGUUUCAAGUCUGCCGUCAAAGCAUGGAGCUUAACUCCAUAAAGGCGGUGGAAACUGAGAGACUAGAGUACAGUAGGGGUAGCAGGAAUUCCCAGUGUAGCGGUGAAAUGCGUAGAUAUUGGGAAGAACAUCGGUGGCGAAAGCGUGCUACUGGACUGAAACUGACACUGAGGGACGAAAGCUAGGGUAGCGAAAGGGAUUAGAUACCCCUGUAGUC